AUGGAAACACUAAGAGUCAAAAUUUAUCACACACCAAUCAGAACCUUCAACAGAGAGAUGAAAGAGCCCGAGUCAGUUCAUUCAGUUUUGGAACAAUGGAUCCAGAGAGACGUGAUUGAAAAGGUUGAGGACACCAGAGAGGAGGAGGAGGAAGAAGAGGAUGAGCAAGAGCAUUCUCUAUCAGUGUGCAGCUCAAUAAUUCAGUACAACAAUAUGGAGCGUAAAGUUUUGGGAUUUACAGUACUGUUACUGGCUUCUCAAUAUUGUUGGUGUCAGACACUGACUGAGUCUGAAGCUGUAGUCAUCAAACCUGGAGAAUCCCAUAAACUGACAUGUACUGCCUCUGGUUUGGACUUUGAUAAUAAAUGGAUGGCUUGGAUCAGACAGAAGUCUGGAAACGAGCUGGAAUGGCUGGCAUGGAUCAAACAUGAUAGCAAGGAAAUGUAUUACUCCCAGUCUGUCCAAGGACGGUUCACCAUCUCCAGAGACAACAGUAGGAAGCAGGUGUAUCUGCAGAUGAACAGCCUGAAGAAUGAAGACACUGCUGUAUAUUAUUGUGCCCGAGAGACACAGUGACUGAAAUGACUGCAGCGCUGUGCACAAAAACUGCCAUUUCAAUAAAAGUUAAUAAACAUUUCAA